rnacentral:rRNA from 1 species
AUGUCUGAUUAGCUAGUUGGUGGGGUAAAGGCCUACCAAGGCGACGAUCAGUAGUUGGUCUGAGAGGACGACCAACCACACUGGGACUGAGACACGGCCCAGACUCCUACGGGAGGCAGCAGUGGGGAAUUUUGGACAAUGGGCGCAAGCCUGAUCCAGCCAUGCCGCGUGAGUGAAGAAGGCCUUCGGGUUGUAAAGCUCUUUCAGUUGGGAAGAAACGAUUACAACUAAUAAUUGUAAUUAAUGACGGUACCGACAGAAGAAGCACCGGCUAACUACGUGCCAGCAGCCGCGGUAAUACGUAGGGUGCGAGCGUUAAUCGGAAUUACUGGGCGUAAAGGGUGCGCAGGCGGUUUUGUAAGUCAGAUGUGAAAUCCCCGGGCUUAACCUGGGAAUGGCGUUUGAAACUACAAAGCUAG